rnacentral:misc_RNA from 1 species
UCCGGUUUAUCACCGGCAGUCUCCAUAGAGUUCUCGCCAUUACACGUUAGUAACUAUGAAUAAGGGUUGCGCUCGUUGCGGGACUUAACCCAACAUCUCACGACACGAGCUGACGACAGCCAUGCAGCACCUCUACACAGACCUCCGAAGAGGGGGACUCAUCUCUGAGCCUUUCCUGUGCAGUUCAAACCCUGGUAAGGUUCUUCGUUUAUCAUCGAAUUAAAGAACACGAUCCACCGCUUGUGCGGGUCCCCGUCAAUUCCUUUAUGUUUUAGUCUUGCGACCGUAGUCCCCAGGCGGAGUACUUAUCGCGUUAGCUUCGCUACACAGGGAGUCGAUACCCCAUACAGCUAGUACUCAUCGUUUACAGCGUGGACUAC